CUCCAGCCCAGACCCGCAAAGGGCUGUGUCCAGGCCAGACCAGAGCAGGACCAGUGGAGGACAUGGGGAUCCCCCCCACAGCACGGCCCCAGGCACACCCUUCCCUGGGGUGUCUCAGGUGCAGACGAGCAGCCGUGACGCACAGCAGAGUCCCAGACGCUGAGCUGCGGAAGGUGACCUGGGGGCCGAGGAGGGACACACUGUGUGUGCAUGUGCGUCAGCGUGUGUGCAGGUCUGCACCCUGGUGUGGACACACACGUCUGUGUCCACACACGUCUGUGUGUGUGAGGUCACAGGAGCUAUUCCUGAGUGACACAGAAGUGAGGCUUCAGCGGGUGAGCCCAGGGCCUGGAGGAGAGGAUGUGCUCCGAACCCCGUGGCGCCCUCUCCAAGCCUCUUACCCGGCCUCACGUGGAGCCGGGCCCUCCCUCGUUCCCAGCAGGUGGCUGGAGAGACCGCAGGACCAUGGCCGCAAGGCUGGCUGCCCUGUCACCGUGGGAUACCUGACGGUCCCACGUCGCCGCCUGCCCUCCCUGGAGCUUGGGCUCCUCGGGGGGUCAGGUCCGUGCUUCUCCCUGCCGGCCAAGGCCCCCGAGGCUGCAGGGGCCGGGGCAGACCUUCAGAGUCGUCCUGGGUUGCGGUGAGGGUCCACGGCUUUCCUCCCUCGUGUCAGUUGUCGCUGGGUGCAGGAUGCCCUGAGGAGAGGGUGUGAUUUGGGGUGAGGCUGUCAGUUCAAGACUGACCACAGCCCUUUAAAUCCACACACCAAACGUGCUAAGAGUUUCUAGCAAAACCCCGCGUGGGUGCUGAUUGCUCUCCAGCCGCCUGCUCCUGUGCUCGCCCCCGCCCCAGUGCCUCUCGAGGUCCCAGGGGGCAGACGCCACCCGAGAGAUGUGUGUCCACGUGGGUCUCCAGGCUCCUGCCUCCUCUGCCCUUCGCUCAGGAGAAGCCUAGCCUCAGCGCCCCGCUGCCCGCACCUUAGCCGUGAGGGCCUCCUUCCCACCCCAGUCGCUGGCCCUUUGCCUCACGCUUGGGGUGGGGGAGGCUGGACGCAGUCUUUCUUUUCACCCCGCGAAGCCCAUCCCGCCCUGCGGGCUUCCUCUUCUCCUUCGGGCUUGUCAGCUCCCGGUGCCUCGAGGUGAGUGAAUGAAGGCUCCUUCCCCUGAGCGGGCAGGGCUGGGGGCACCCUGGUGUCUCAUGGAAGGAGGUGCCAGGCCCGGUGUCUGCACAGUGGGAGGGGUGCCCAGGGCCCUGACCCCAGCUGUGUCAGCGAGUAGGAAGCGUGAGUGGGCCGUGGGCCACGUCAGCAGGCUUCAGAACCUCUUUCUUCACCUGUGAAACAGGAGCCGGGACUUCGGUCCACCCCCUCAGGGCGCGUGAGCCUGAAAGAGGGGCCCCAAGAGCUUGGGUCAGAGGCUCUGCAAGACCCAGAUUGACAAUUGUGGCCCAUUCUCGGGAGUCCUGGGGCUAGUGGAGGGAGCUGGUCGGCCUCAGGGAGGCGCUCUUUGCUCCAGGCAUCCUGCCUCCAGGAGAGCUGCUCACCUGUCCUCUUCCCAACGGUGAAGGUCACAGGUCCCCGGGGACGCAGAGGCGCCUUCUGGGCAGCACGCUGUGUGCGGACUCCCCCUGCUGCUGUGUGACUUGGGAGGAGAGGGCGUAUGGCCCUCACUCAGGGCCGCCCAGGUGUCGGGGCCUGGGCCCUGUGGGUGUGAGGGCCUUCUGGCUUUGUGCUGCGAAGAUGUGCUGUGGAGGAUGGUCUGUCCUCGCACAUGUCCGGUGAGAGGGAGACCUUGGCUCCAGGAACGCCAGCCUGGAGCUAGUGGCCCGUGACCUGGGCUGUGGAGUGGGGAACGCCGACCAGCAGUGGUCCCAGCCUCCCGUUCCCACUGGGACAGCCCCACCCACAGGGGUUCAACCUUGGGCUCCAGCUGCAGUUUCAUCCAAACUGAAGGCAGCUUCCUGCUGGUUCAGCCAGAGGCAUCCCCACCUGACAUGGUGGGGUCUGCCCAGACCCAGCUCCCUUGUGGACAACCCCUGCACCGGGUUCACUCUGAUGGCCGCCAGCUGGGCCAUCUGUCCUGGACCCCUGGACGCCGAGUGGCAUGUGCCCGUGUGCCAGGGUGGAAGGGACGAGAUGGAGAACAUGCUUGGACGCUGCCUGUGGCUCUGGCCUCUGUGGCCACACCGAGGGGCCUGGAGGGGCCGAGCUUGGCAGGCAUCCUCGGGCAGAGGCAGGGACUUGCCACAGCCUGUUCCUGUGUCAGACAACUUAAAAGGUGCACCUGGCUCCUCCUACUCCCUCCUGGGGCCCCGCUGUGGUGGUGUGAUGGCUGCCAGGGCCCCACAGGGUGAGGACAGUCGCUGGAGCAUCACCUCCCCGAGGGCACUGGCGAGGUCAGGACCUGCCCAGACAGCCCUGGAGCCUCCUCCAGGGCAGCAAGGGCCACGAGGGCGUGUGGCAACAGUGCUGUCCUUUCCCAAGGUGGUGGGCAGGCGGCAGGCGGCCCUCGGGGUGGACAGGCGUGGCUGGCAGCCCCGCUCUGAGGGCUCACGGCCCAGGUUGAACCCCUGCAGGUGGGGCUGUCCCAGUGGGAACGGGAGUGGGGGUGGGAUGUGGCCUGAGUGACAGCCCAGAACCACAGCCACUGCGUGUCCCAGACCUACAUGCUGCUGGCUCCAGGGGAAGGGACAGGUCCUGGACAACGGGCGGCAUGGGAGGGUACCCUGCCUGCCGGCCUCAGGCGGACCCCGUCUCCAGACAAGGAAGGAGACAGAAAUAACUUAUGCCAUGAACGAAACGGGAGCACUGACGAGCGUUUUCUGGCCCGACCCGCCGCUGCCCAGGCCGCUGCGCCCCGCCACCACGGAGGCGGGCCUGCCGAGGGAGGGGGACACAUGGUCAGCUUUGGGACAGUGACAGCGGGGCCGAGGCCAGGAGCAGACCAGCUCCACCCCGAGUGGCUGGACACUGGGCUUUCUUCUGGUUGUUACCACAGGGAGAUGUCGCAGUGACUGAGGCUCGUGGCCGCCUCGGCCCUGCACACAGCGAGACCCUGCUCAUUCCUGCGAUUGUUCACUUCUGAUUGUUUUUUAAAAAAUAUAAUUUUGUAAACGUCCCAUAAAAAUACUAUUGUUCCCAGUCAAACACGGAGAUUGCAGCAUGAAGAGUGACUGCUUUAUCUUUGUUCUAAAAAUGUGAGAA